rnacentral:rRNA from 1 species
UGGGGAAUUUUGGACAAUGGGCGAAAGCCUGAUCCAGCAAUGCCGCGUGUGUGAAGAAGGCCUUCGGGUUGUAAAGCACUUUUGUCCGGAAAGAAAUCCUUGGCUCUAAUACAGUCGGGGGAUGACGGUACCGGAAGAAUAAGCACCGGCUAACUACGUGCCAGCAGCCGCGGUAAUACGUAGGGUGCAAGCGUUAAUCGGAAUUACUGGGCGUAAAGCGUGCGCAGGCGGUUUGCUAAGACCGAUGUGAAAUCCCCGGGCUCAACCUGGGAACUGCAUUGGUGACUGGCAGGCUAGAGUAUGGCAGAGGGGGGUAGAAUUCCACGUGUAGCAGUGAAAUGCGUAGAGAUGUGGAGGAAUACCGAUGGCGAAGGCAGCCCCCUGGGCCAAUACUGACGCUCAUGCACGAAAGCGUGGGGGAGCAAACAGGAUUAGAUACCCUGGUAGUCCACGCCCUAAACGAUGUCAACUAGUUGUUGGGGAUUCAUUUCCUUAGUAACGUAGCUAACGCGUGAAGUUGACCGCCUGGGGAGUACGGUCGCAAGAUUAAAACUCAAAUGAAUUGACGGGGUCA